rnacentral:pre_miRNA from 1 species
UAAAUACUCCCUCUGUUCGGAAUUACUUGUCUCGAAAAUGGAUGUAUCUAAAACUAAAAUACAUCUAGAUACAUCCAUUUCUGUGACAAGUAAUUCCGAACGGAGGGAGUACCAA